GACGAACGCUGGCGGCGUGCUUAACACAUGCAAGUCGAACGGAAAGGCCCUGCUUUUGUGGGGUGCUCGAGUGGCGAACGGGUGAGUAACACGUGAGUAACCUGCCCUUGACUUUGGGAUAACUUCAGGAAACUGGGGCUAAUACCGGAUAGGAGCUCCUGCUGCAUGGUGGGGGUUGGAAAGUUUCGGCGGUUGGGGAUGGACUCGCGGCUUAUCAGCUUGUUGGUGGGGUAGUGGCUUACCAAGGCUUUGACGGGUAGCCGGCCUGAGAGGGUGACCGGCCACAUUGCGACUGAGAUACGGCCCAGACUCCUACGGGAGGCAGCAGUGGGGAAUAUUGCACAAUGGGCGGAAGCCUGAUGCAGCAACGCCGCGUGCGGGAUGACGGCCUUCGGGCUGUAAACCGCUUUCGCCUGUGACGAAGCGUGAGUGACGGUAAUGGGUAAAGAAGCACCGGCUAACUACGUG
rnacentral:rRNA from 1 species